ACCUUGCGUCGCACGAGCUCUCUUCGUCACUCCUUGCGUCACACGAGCUCCCUCCGCCAGUGCCUCGUCGCGUAUGCUCCCUUCGUCGCCAUCGUCGCAGAGCUCUCUCCCUCUCUGCUGCCUCUCGUUGUGUCUGCUCCCUGCGUGAAUUUCAGAUGCUGUGCUUGCAAGAGUU